rnacentral:rRNA from 1 species
AGAGUUUGAUCCUGGCUCAGGACGAACGCUGGCGGCGUGCUUAACACAUGCAAGUCGAACGAGAAUCUGCGGAACGAGGAUUCGUCCAAGUGAAGCGGAGGACAGUGGCGGACGGGUGAGUAACGCGUGAGGAACCUGCCUUUCAGAGGGGGACAACAGUUGGAAACGACUGCUAAUACCGCAUGAUACAUUUGGGUGGCAUCAUCUGAAUGUCAAAGAUUUAUCGCUGAAAGAUGGCCUCGCGUCUGAUUAGCUGGUUGGUGAGGUAACGGCCCACCAAGGCGACGAUCAGUAGCCGGACUGAGAGGUUGACCGGCCACAUUGGGACUGAGAUACGGCCCAGACUCCUACGGGAGGCAGCAGUGGGGAAUAUUGGGCAAUGGGCGCAAGCCUGACCCAGCAACGCCGCGUGAAGGAAGAAGGCUUUCGGGUUGUAAACUUCUUUUAAGAGGGAAGAGCAGAAGACGGUACCUCUAGAAUAAGCCACGGCUAACUACGUGCCAGCAGCCGCGGUAAUACGUAGGUGGCAAGCGUUGUCCGGAUUUACUGGGUGUAAAGGGCGUGCAGCCGGGAAUGCAAGUCAGAUGUGAAAUCCAUGGGCUUAACCCAUGAACUGCAUUUGAAACUGUAUUUCUUGAGUACUGGAGAGGCAAUCGGAAUUCCUAGUGUAGCGGUGAAAUGCGUAGAUAUUAGGAGGAACACCAGUGGCGAAGGCGGAUUGCUGGACGAUAACUGACGGUGAGGCGCGAAAGUGUGGGGAGCAAACAGGAUUAGAUACCCUGGUAGUCCACACUGUAAACGAUGAAUACUAGGUGUGCGGGGACUGACCCCCUGCGUGCCGCAGUUAACACAAUAAGUAUUCCACCUGGGGAGUACGAUCGCAAGGUUGAAACUCAAAGGAAU